GACGAACGCUGGCGGCGUGCUUAACACAUGCAAGUGGAGCGACGAACCAGGCUUCGGCCUGGGGCAGAGCCGCGAACGGGUGAGUAACACGUGGGUAACCUGCCCUGAUGACUGGGACAACCCGGGGAAACCCGGGCGUAAUACCGGAUGUGCUGCUCCCACACCAGUGGGAGUAGGAAAGGAAGCUUCGGCCUCCGCAUCAGGAUGGGCCCGCGGCCCAUUAGCUUGUUGGUGAGG
rnacentral:rRNA from 1 species